rfam:Arabis alpina cultivar Pajares chromosome 8, whole genome shotgun sequence.
UAAUGAAUGUAGCAUGGUACUGUGCACGAAAACUGAACUAUGGAUCGACAUGUCUGCCAUCUCUGAUAUUCCUUGAUGAGACGGCCUGGUUUAGAUCCACAUUC